AAAAUGCGUAGAUAUAUGGAGGAACACCAGUGGCGAAGGCGGCUAACUGGCCUGUAACUGACGCUGAGGCACGAAAGCGUGGGGAGCAAAUAGGAUUAGAUACCCUAGUAGUCCACGCCGUAAACGAUGGAUACUAAGUGUUGGGGAAACUCAGUGCUGCAGUUAACGCAAUAAGUAUCCCGCCUGGGGAGUAUGCACGCAAGUGUGAAACUCAAAGGAAUUGACGGGGGCCCGCACAAGCGGUGGAGUAUGUGGUUUAAUUCGAAGCAACGCGAAGAACCUUACCAGGUCUUGACAUACUGGACAAGUCUAUAGAGAUAUAGAGGAGGAUGAAGGAUACAGGUGGUGCAUGGUUGUCGUCAGCUCGUGUCGUGAGAUGUUGGGUUAAGUCCCGCAACGAGCGCAACCCUUGUCUUUAGUUACUAACAUUAAGUUGAGGACUCUAGAGAGACUGCCGGUGAUAAACCGGAGGAAGGUGGGGAUGACGUCAAAUCAUCAUGCCCCUUAUGACCUGGGCUACACACGUACUACAAUGGCGUAUACGACGAGAAGCAAGACAGUGAUGUGGAGCAAAUCUCACAAAGUACGUCUCAGUUCGGAUUGAAGUCUGCAACCCGACUUCAUGAAGCUGGAAUCGCUAGUAAUCGCGGAUCAGCAUGCUGCGG
rnacentral:rRNA from 1 species